rnacentral:rRNA from 1 species
GAUCAAGCGCGAGAAGGGCGUUUGGUGGAUGCCUUGGCAGUAAGAGGCGAUGAAGGACGUGAUACUCUGCGAUAAGUCCUGGGGAGCUGAGAAUAAGCUUUGAUCCAGGAAUUUCCGAAUGGGGCAACCCACCUGAAAGUUCGUUAUAAUUACCUCUGGUAGUUUAUAACGGGCUUAAACAGGUACUUUUAACCUGAACACAUAGGGUUUUAAGAGCAAACCCGGGGAACUGAAACAUCUAAGUACCCGGAGGAAAGGACAUCAAUAGAGACUCCCCUAGUAGCGGCGAGCGAACGGGGACCAGCCGAGUCCUGAGAGUGAACAGAAUGGUCUGGAAAGGCCAACCACAGCGGGUGACAGUCCCGUAUGUGAAGCUCGAUGGAACGUAUUAAGUAGGGCGGGACACGUGAAAUCCUGUUCGAAGAUCGGAGGACCACCUCCGAAGGCUAAGUACUCCUUACUGACCGAUAGCGAACCAGUACCGUGAGGGAAAGGUGAAAAGCACCCCGACGAGGGGAGUGAAACAGUACCUGAAACCGAACGCCUACAAUCAGUCGGAGGCUCCUCGAGAGCUGACGGCGUACCUUUUGUAUAAUGGGUCAUCGACUUGGUCUAUCUAGCAAGCUUAAGCCGUUAGGUGUAGGCGCAGCGAAAGCGAGUCUUAAUAGGGCGUCGAGUUAGAUGGAUCAGACCCGAAACCGAGUGAUCUAGGCAUGACCAGGAUGAAGGUUGGGUAACACCAACUGGAGGUCCGAACCCACACCUGUUGAAAAAGGUCGGGAUGAGUUGUGCCUAGGGGUGAAAGGCCAAUCAAACUCGGAGAUAGCUGGUUCUCCGCGAAAUCUAUUUAGGUAGAGCGUCAUCCGAAUACCCCGGGGGGUAGAGCACUGGAUGGGUAAUGGGCCCCACAGGCUUACUGAUCCUAACCAAACUCCGAAUACCCGGGAGUACUAGAUGGCAGACACACUGCGGGUGCUAACGCCCGUAGUGGAGAGGGAAACAACCCUGACCUCCGGCUAAGGCCCCCAAUUCAUGGCUAAGUGGGAAAGCAGGUGGGACGACCAAAACAACCAGGAGGUUGGCUUAGAAGCAGCCAUCCUUUAAAGAUAGCGUAACAGCUCACUGGUCUAAUUAAGUUGUCCUGCGGCGAAGAUGUAACGGGGCUCAAGCCAUGAGCCGAAGCCGAGGAUGCGCAUAGCGCAUGGUAGCGGAGCGUAGUGUGACAUAGGACUACUCCUCUUCUGCAUCCUUCGGGAUGUAAUGGAGGAGCAAGUCCUUUCUGUGAAGCCGGGCUGUAAGGCAUCCGGUGGAGAGAUCACUAGCGAGAAUGAUGACAUGAGUAGCGACAAAGAGUGUGAGAGACACUCUCGCCGAAAGUCCAAGGGUUCCUGCUUAAAGCUAAUCUGAGCAGGGUAAGCCGGCCCCUAAGGCGAGGCCGAAAGGCGUAGUCGAUGGGAACCAGGUCAAUAUUCCUGGGCCAUGUGGUGGUGACGGAUCGCAGGGGUAGUUCUUCCUUAUCGGAUUGGAAGGGCUGCUGAGCGGUUCCUGGAAAUAGCCCCACUUUGAGACCGUACCCUAAACCGACACAGGUGGACUGGUAGAGAAUACCAAGGCGCUUGAGAGAACGAUGUUGAAGGAACUCGGCAAAAUACCUCCGUAAGUUCGCGAGAAGGAGGCCCAGUUUCAACGCAAGUUUUGGCUGGGGGCACAAACCAGGGGGUGGCGACUGUUUACUAAAAACACAGGGCUCUGCGAAGUCGCAAGACGACGUAUAGGGUCUGACGCCUGCCCGGUGCCUGAAGGUUAAAAGGAGGGGUGAGAGCUCUGAAUUGAAGCCCAGGUAAACGGCGGCCGUAACUAUAACGGUCCUAAGGUAGCGAAAUUCCUUGUCGGGUAAGUUCCGACCUGCACGAAUGGCGUAACGACUUCCCCGCUGUCUCCAACAUCGACUCAGCGAAAUUGAAUUGCCUGUCAAGAUGCAGGCUUCCCGCGGUUAGACGGAAAGACCCCGUGCACCUUUACUACAGCUUCACACUGGCAUCAGGCCAUGCAUGUGCAGGAUAGGUGGUAGGCUUCGAAGCAGGAACGCCAGUUUCUGUGGAGCCUCCCUUGAGAUACCACCCUUGCAUUGCUUGAUGUCUAACCGCGAUCCGUUAUCCGGUUCCGGGACCCUGUGUGGCGGGUAGUUUGACUGGGGCGGUCGCCUCCUAAAGCGUAACGGAGGCGCGCGAAGGUUGGCUCAGAGCGGUCGGAAAUCGCUCGUUGAGUGCAAUGGCAGAAGCCAGCCUGACUGCAAGACUGACAAGUCGAGCAGAGUCGAAAGACGGCCAUAGUGAUCCGGUGGUCCCAAGUGGGAGGGCCAUCGCUCAACGGAUAAAAGGUACGCCGGGGAUAACAGGCUGAUACUGCCCAAGAGUCCAUAUCGACGGCAGUGUUUGGCACCUCGAUGUCGGCUCAUCUCAUCCUGGGGCUGGAGCAGGUCCCAAGGGUAUGGCUGUUCGCCAUUUAAAGAGGUACGUGAGCUGGGUUUAGAACGUCGUGAGACAGUUCGGUCCCUAUCUGCCGUGGGUGUAGGAUACUUGAGAGGAGUUGCCCCUAGUACGAGAGGACCGGGGUGAACGAUCCACUGGUGGACCAGUUGUCGUGCCAACGGCAGUGCUGGGUAGCUAUGAUCGGACAGGAUAACCGCUGAAGGCAUCUAAGCGGGAAGCCCCCCUCAAAACAAGGUAUCCCUGAGGGCCGUGGAAGACCACCACGUCGAUAGGCCGGAGGUGUAAGUGCAGCAAUGCAUUCAGCUGACCGGUACUAAUGGCCCGAUAGGCUUGAUCCG